rnacentral:rRNA from 1 species
UACGAAGGGGGCUAGCGUUGCUCGGAAUUACUGGGCGUAAAGGGCGCGUAGGCGGACAGUUUAAGUCAGAGGUGAAAGCCCAGGGCUCAACCCUGGAAUAGCCUUUGAUACUGGCUGUCUUGAGUGCGGGAGAGGUGUGUGGAACUCCGGAGUGUAGAGGUGAAAUUCGUAGAUAUUCGCAGGAACACCAGUGGCGAAGGCGGACUUGACUGG